rnacentral:lncRNA from 13 species
UAGUCAUUGACCUGAUUUCCUCAUUGCUUUGGAGAACUAUUUCAGUAUGUUCCUCUUCUGUCCCUAAGAGCCACUGCUCCUUCAUAACUCAGUGCGUGGCCAGCCUAUUCUGAAGUACCUCUGAGGCAUCCCUCUAGACUUCUGUUGUUAUUCAGUAGCUACUGUAUGCUAGAAAGUGCGGUUCACUACGUUUCCAGCUCCUUCUUCCUUCUCUGGUGGGUCUUCAGAUACCAACACGGACUUCAUCUUGGUCUUUGUUUUUAGCAGCAUUGUGGUUCAAAGCACUGAUGCCGAAGCUGGCUUCUGCUAUGAGCAGCAACAUGAUUUUAGACAAGUCUCUUAACCUCUUAGAGCCUUAGUUUCCCAACCUGUAAAAUGAGACUGAUACUAGGUCCAGUUUCAUAGGACUGGUGUGGAAAUUAAAUAAGUUAAUACGUAUAAAGUGCUGGGCUCCAUGUCUGACCCAUUGUGGGUUCUCAAUAACAGUAUGCUGUUAUUAUUCUCAUUUUGGGGGUGAUUAUUAAGAUUCAGGGCACAGGGUAGUACUCUUUGAGUACAGUGUGCAGAUUUCUUCUCUGAAUUGCUUUCUGUGAUGGGUUACAAGGAUCUUCCAAGCGUAGAGAGGAUCUAAUAGUUUCCAAGUUGAUCUCUCCAUAAAACUCCAUUUCCCAUGAAGCGAUUAGAGUAGGUUUUGAGAUCAUUAAAGGCCACCAUAGGAAUCUUGUAGAGCUUCUUUGCAAUCAGAGAGCCAGCUAAUGUUGGGGUGAAAGGUCCUUAGUGAGCACUUAAAACAAAAAGACAGACUGACAGGUUUUGAUCACAUCAGACCUAGUGGCAGCCUAGACCAGAAGACAUGUCUCCUAAUGUCCAAAGCAGCAUCCUUUCUGCCCCAGCAGGAUUUCUCAUGCCGUGUACUUCUCCUGACCUGCAGGUGAGAGGAGAACAAUGGUCUGAGCCUCUUCCUCUGGCCCCUGCACAUCUGCUUAGAGGCAUCUGCGUGAAUGUGCUGGUUGUUCACUCGAGAAGAUACCAGAUACAAACAAGACAAGGAUGUUGCUCUUGUAAGCUCCAAAUAUUGGCUGAAGGAAUGAAUGAACAUCUGCCUUCUGUAUCAGUAGAUCUUUCCUUCCAUUGCAGAGUUAGAAGAUGAGCCCUAUUCAAUGUGGGAGCGGCUACAGAAGAGCAUGAAUAUCAGGAAGAGAGAAUCAUGUGAACUGGCUCAGAGGCUGGCCGUACAAGCACCUGCCUCAUAGGGUAGCUGCCAUGAUCAGGUCACAUGAGGUAAAGGGUAUAAAACAUUUUGUAAACGUUAACCUGCUCUAUCAAUAUUCACUAUUGUUCCUAUUAUUAUUGACAUGGAUGAGUUGUCCAAAGCUAACUGCAUUUUGCUCAUGAAUGUUUACUACUUUAGUUGUUCAGAAUUAGUGUCUUAGGACUCCCAACUACCUGCAAACUUGAGGGAUUUGAGACUAU